GAUGAACGCUAGCGGGAGGCCUAACACAUGCAAGCCGAGCGGUAUGUAUUAUUAGCUUGCUAAGAAUGCAGAGAGCGGCGCACGGGUGCGUAACAUGUGUGCAACUUGCCUUUAUCAGGGGGAUAGCCUUUAGAAAUGAAGAUUAAUACCCCAUAACAUAUUGAUUGGCAUCAAUUAAUAUUGAAAACUUCGGUGGAUAAAGAUAGGCACGCACAAGAUUAGCUAGUUGGUACGGUAACGGCGUACCAAGGCGACGAUCUUUAGGGGGCCUGAGAGGGUGAUCCCCCACACUGGUACUGAGACACGGACCAGACUCCUACGGGAGGCAGCAGUGAGGAAUAUUGGACAAUGGGUGAGAGCCUGAUCCAGCCAUCCCGCGUGAAGGACGACGGACCUAUGGUUUGUAAACUUCUUUUAUAUAGGAAUAAACCUACCCUCGUGAGGGUAGCUGAAUGUACUAUACGAAUAAGCACCGGCUAACUCCGUGCCAGCAGCCGCGGUAAUACGGAGGGUGCAAGCGUUAUCCGGAUUUAUUGGGUUUAAAGGGUCCGUAGGCGGGCUAAUAAGUCAGUAGUGAAAUCUUGUCGCUUAACGAUAAAACUGCUAUUGAUACUGUUAGUCUUGAGUGUAUUUGAAGUAGCUGGAAUGAGUAGCGUAGCGGUGAAAUGCAUAGAUAUUACUCAGAACACCAAUUGCGAAGGCAGGUUACUAAGAUACAACUGACGCUGAUGGACGAAAGCGUGGGGAGCGAACAGG
rnacentral:rRNA from 1 species